UUUAGGGAGACCCACUUUUGAGUUUGUGCUCAACAGUAUGUACUGAAGAGUGAGAAAAAGAACUCAAAAGCCAUCCCGAGGUCGAUCAUGAGUCAAGUGUGUAAGCUUUCAAACUAUUUUUGGUUCACAUUAACUUAUUAGCUGAAAUUCACAAAUAAUAAUUAAGUUGUUACCUAUUAACAAAGUUUGCGAUUGAGAAUUUCAACUAAUUACGCAAAUAUAUGGUGAUACUUAAUCUUAGUAAGGAAAUAUAAUCUCAGCAUCUUGUCAAAUUAAGCAAGAAUGCUGGAAUUACUUCCAGCAAAAGAACCUUGAAAACUGCAUAGAAACGCGAGAAAAGUCAGGUAGUUAACUAAAAACAGUUAACACUCCAAGCAAAAGCAGCAAUGAUUGUUUGU
rnacentral:misc_RNA from 1 species